UAAUGGCCUACCAAGGCGACGACGGGUAGCCGGCCUGAGAGGGCGACCGGCCACACUGGGACUGAGACACGGCCCAGACUCCUACGGGAGGCAGCAGUGGGGAAUCUUGCGCAAUGGGCGGAAGCCUGACGCAGCGCCGCCGCGUGGGGGAUGAAGGCCUUCGGGUUGUAAACCCCUUUCAGCAGGGACGAAGCGAAAGUGACGGUUCCUGCAGAAGAAGCGCCGGCUAACUACGUGCCAGCAGCCGCGGUAACACGUAGGGCGCAAGCGUUGUCCGGAAUUAUUGGGCGUAAAGAGCUCGUAGGCCGACUGUUGCGUCCGCUGAGAAAAGCUGGGGCUUAACCCUGGCCUUGCAGUGGAUACGGGCAGACUAGAGGUAGGUAGGGGAGAAUGGAAUUCCCGGUGUAGCGGUGAAAUG
rnacentral:rRNA from 1 species